rnacentral:lncRNA from 1 species
CUGAAAUUCGAACCAUAAACCCUAAAACCCUAAACCUUCAAAUCUAAACCCUAAAACAUCAACUCUACGGUUUUUGGGUUUAGGUUUACGGUUUAGUGUUUAGUAUUUAGGGUUUAGGGUUUAGAUUAGGGUUUAGGAUUUAGGGUUUAAAGUUUAGGGUUUAGAGUUGACGGUUUAGGGUUUAGGGUUUAGAAUUGAUGUUUUAGGGUUUAGGGUUAAUUUUUUAGGGUUUAGGGUUUUGAGUUUACUUUUUAGGGUUUAGGGUUUAGUGUUGAUAGUUUAGGGUUUAGUGUUGAUGGUUUAGGGGU